GGUGACUCUGAAUAACUCAGCGAAUCAUACGGUCUAGCACCGAUGAUGUAUCUUUCAAGUGUCUGCCUUAUCAACUUCCGAUGGUAGUUUAUGUGCCUACCAUGGUUGUAACGGGUAACGGAGAAUCAGGGUUUGACUCCGGAGAGGGAGCCUGAGAAACGGCUACCACUUCC
rnacentral:rRNA from 1 species